GUGAGGAAUAUUGGUCAAUGGGCGAGAGCCUGAACCAGCCAAGUCGCGUGAAGGAAGAAGGAUCUAUGGUUCGUAAACUUCUUUUGCAGGGGAAUAAAGUGCAGGACGUGUCCUGUUUUGUAUGUACCCUGAGAAUAAGGAUCGGCUAACUCCGUGCCAGCAGCCGCGGUAAUACGGAGGAUCCGAGCGUUAUCCGGAUUUAUUGGGUUUAAAGGGUUCGUAGGUGGUUUGUUAAGUCAGCGGUGAAAGUUUGCUGCUUAACUGUAAAAAUGCCGUUGAAACUGGCGGACUUGAGUGUAAAUGAGGUAGGCGGAAUGCGUGGUGUAGCGGUGAAAUGCAUAGAUAUCACGCAGAACUCCGAUUGCGAAGGCAGCUUACUAAGCUACAACUGACACUGAAGCACGAAAGCGUGGGGAUCAAACAGGAUUAGAAACUCUUGUAGUCC
rnacentral:rRNA from 1 species